rnacentral:rRNA from 1 species
UACGAGGGGUGCAAGCGUUGCUCGGAAUUAUUGGGCGUAAAGGGUAGGUAGGUGGUCUCAUUUGUCUGGGGUGAAAGCCUUGAGCUUAACUCAAGAAGUGCCCCAGAAACGGUGAGACUGGAGUCUUGGAGAGGGUCGUGGAAUUCCCGGUGUAGCGGUGAAAUGCGUAGAGAUCGGGAGGAACACCAGCGGCGAAGGCGACCACCUGGACGAAGAUUGACGCUGAGGCGCGAAAGCGUGGGGAGCAAACAGG